UACGUAGGGGGCGAGCGUUUGUCCGGAAUCAUUUGGGCGUAAAGCGCGUGUAGGCGGCUCGAUAAGUCUGCUGUGAAAGUCCAGGGCUCAACCCUGGAAUGCCGGUGGAUACUGUCGAGCUCGAGUCCGGAAGAGGCGAGUGGAAUUCCUGGUGUAGCGGUGAAAUGCGCAGAUAUCAGGAGGAACACCAAUGGCGAAGGCAGCUCGCUGGGACGCGACUGACGCUGAGACGCGAAAGCGUGGGGAGCAAACAGG
rnacentral:rRNA from 1 species